AGGAAGCCUCCUAUCAGACUCUCUGCCUGGCCUGAGAUAUCCAGUUAACACCUGCAAUUCAGAAUACCCUCUCACCCAGCAAUAAAGCAUCCAGCCUUUGCAUCUGUAACAACCUCCUCUGUAAUUUGUGCAUUCUAUGGAUGCUCCAAAUCAUAAUACAAUCCAUCCAUGACUUCAGACAGAUGAAAACAGUUCCUUCUAAAAAAAGAGGCUAAUGUUUUUAAAAGACAGUAAGAGAAGAAUGUCAGCUCCCCAUGGCUGCAGUAGAAAGUGCUGGAUGAGAGGAGCAUCUCCAGAGCAUGGAAGACAAAGCAGCUUUAUCCUCACCUUUUCCACCUCAAUUUCCAUUUUCCUCCAAGGCAAAACUCCCACUCCUGGCAGAUUAAAUGAAAUGAAGACACUGAGCUCUGCAAGUACACUGCUUUUUGAAUCCCAGAGUGAACUUGCUUGUCAAAUGCCUCUUUAAAAAGCAAGUGAAGAUAAUUGCAAGUCAGCUGGAAGUGCUGCCAAGAUAUGACCUCCAGGAAGGCCCAGAAGACAAGUGAUAU
rnacentral:lncRNA from 1 species